GACGAACGCUGGCGGCGUGCUUAACACAUGCAAGUCGAGCGGAAAGGCCCUUCGGGGUACUCGAGCGGCGAACGGGUGAGUAACACGUGAGUAACCUGCCCCAGACUUUGGGAUAACCCUCGGAAACGGGGGCUAAUACCGGAUACGACACAGCUUCGCAUGGGGUCUGUGUGGAAAGUUUUUCGGUUUGGGAUGGGCUCGCGGCCUAUCAGCUUGUUGGUGGGGUGAUGGCCUACCAAGGCGACGACGGGUAGCCGGCCUGAGAGGGCGACCGGCCACACUGGGACUGAGAUACGGCCCAGACUCCUACGGGAGGCAGCAGUGGGGAAUAUUGCACAAUGGGCGGAAGCCUGAUGCAGCGACGCCGCGUGAGGGAUGACGGCCUUCGGGUUGUAAACCUCUUUCAGCAGGGACGAAGCGUAAGUGACGGUACCUGCAGAAGAAGCGCCGGCCAACUACGUG
rnacentral:rRNA from 1 species